rnacentral:rRNA from 1 species
CAGCAGCCGCGGUAACACGUAGGUGGCGAGCGUUGUCCGGAAUUAUUGGGCGUAAAGGGCUCGCAGGCGGUUUCUUAAGUCUGAUGUGAAAGCCCCCGGCUCAACCGGGGAGGGUCAUUGGAAACUGGGAAACUUGAGUGCAGAAGAGGAGAGUGGAAUUCCACGUGUAGCGGUGAAAUGCGUAGAGAUGUGGAGGAACACCAGUGGCGAAGGCGACUCUCUGGUCUGUAACUGACGCUGAGGAGCGAAAGCGUGGGGAGCGAACAGGAUUAGAUACCCCAGUAGUCCCUGUCUCUUAUAC